CCUGGACUCUGACCUCAUAGGUAGCAAUGAAUAUCCUAGUAAGAGCACCAGUGGAAGGGGAAGCCCUUGGUCCUGCCAAGACUGAACCCCCAGUGAACGGGAUUGUUGGGGGGAGGGCAGUAAUGGGGGGAGGAUGGGGAGGGGAACACCCAUAUAGAAGGGGAGGGGGAGGGCUUAGGGGGAUGUUGGCCCGGAAACCAGGAAGGGGAAUAACAAUCGAAAUGUAAAUAAGAAAUACUCAAGUUAAUAAAGAUGAAAAAAGAAAAAAAGAAA
rnacentral:lncRNA from 1 species